GCGGGAGUAGCUCAGUGGUAGAGCACCACCUUGCCAAGGUGGGGGUCGCGAGUUCGAGCCUCGUUUCCCGCUCCA
rnacentral:tRNA from 1 species